rnacentral:rRNA from 1 species
GAUGAACGCUGGCGGCGUGCCUAAUACAUGCAAGUCGAGCGAAUGGAUUAAGAGCUUGCUCUUAUGAAGUUAGCGGCGGACGGGUGAGUAACACGUGGGUAACCUGCCCAUAAGACUGGGAUAACUCCGGGAAACCGGGGCUAAUACCGGAUAACAUUUUGAACCGCAUGGUUCGAAAUUGAAAGGCGGCUUCGGCUGUCCCUUAUGGAUGGACCCGGGUCGCAUUAGCUAGUUGGUGAGGUAACGGCUCACCAAGGCAACGAUGCGUAGCCGACCUGAGAGGGUGAUCGGCCACACUGGGACGGAGACACGGCCCAGACUCCUACGGGAGGCAGCAGUAGGGAAUCUUCCGCAAUGGACGAAAGUCUGACGGAGCAACGCCGCGUGAGUGAUGAAGGCUUUUGGGUCGUAAAACUCUGUUGUUAGGGAAGAACAAGUGCUAGUUGAAUAAGCUGGCACCUUGACGGUACCUAACCAGAAAGCCACGGCUAACUACGUGCCAGCCGCCGCUGUAA